GAAAAUUAUUUUGAAUUGAAGCUAACAUUCUGAGAUCCUGAACUAUUAUUUGAAUAAUUUGAAUUUUUCGGCUUACUGUAAUGUUUUUGUUGUCUGAUGAAAUUUUUGAUGACACUAAACUGAAGUUCGUUUCUUUUAGGAUUUUCAGUUUACUAUCGAAUGUCCUUGUAUUUUUGCCUUUUAUCUGCAUUCUUGUUUUUGGGGUUUUUUUCUCAUUGUUCAAACAUUUGCUUUAGCAAUUUUCGUUAGGC
rnacentral:misc_RNA from 1 species